AGAGAUGUGUGAUGACGCAUAUCAAUAAGCGGAGGAAAAGAAACUAACAAGGAUUCCCUUAGUAACGGCGAGUGAAGCGGGAAGAGCUCAAAUUUGAAAUCUUCAAGGUUCUACCUUGACGAAUUGUAGUUUAUAGAAGUGUUUUCUGUUAGUGGAGUGGCAAAAGUUCUUUGGAAUAGGACAUCAUAGAGGGUGAGAAUCCCGUAUUUGGUCAUUCCUCCUAGCGUUGUGAUACACUUUCAACGAGUCGGAUUGUUUGGGAAUGCAGUCCAAAAUGGGUGGUAAAUUUCAUCUAAAGCUAAAUAUUGGCGAGAGACCGAUAGCGAACAAGUACCGUGAGGGAAAGAUGAAAAGAACUUUGAAAAGAGAGUUAAACAGUACGUGAAAUUGUCAAAAGGGAAGCGUUUGACACCAGUGUUGUUUUUUCCGAAAAUCAAUUACGAAUGUUUUGUUUUUGAGGAGUUAUGACUUCAUCGGCUUGCUCCUUUCUUUACUGAAACUUUCUUAAUGCACUUUUCGGUUAACAAGUCAACAUCAAUUUCUUUUGUUGUAAAAGGGUCAUGAGGAAGGUGGCUUUCUUUUCGGAGAAAGUGUUUAUAGCCUUGUGCCUCUGCAAUCGGAGAGAUUGAGGUCUGCAGCGUAGAUCCUUCGGGGUUAGAUACAUUUGUGCUAAGUUAUAGCCUUUCAUAGACAACUUGUUGACUAUGUUUAGUCUUGUAGCUUACUCGCUUAUCGCUAUUUUACCUACGCUUAGGAUGUUGAACUCUAUCACACACAG
rnacentral:rRNA from 1 species